rnacentral:rRNA from 2 species
UUGGUGCUUGCAUCAUGAUUUACAUUUGAGUGAGUGGCGAACUGGUGAGUAACACGUGGGAAACCUGCCCAGAAGCGGGGGAUAACACCUGGAAACAGAUGCUAAUACCGCAUAACAACUUGGACCGCAUGGUCCGAGCUUGAAAGAUGGCUUCGGCUAUCACUUUUGGAUGGUCCCGCGGCGUAUUAGCUAGAUGGUGGGGUAACGGCUCACCAUGGCAAUGAUACGUAGCCGACCUGAGAGGGUAAUCGGCCACAUUGGGACUGAGACACGGCCCAAACUCCUACGGGAGGCAGCAGUAGGGAAUCUUCCACAAUGGACGAAAGUCUGAUGGAGCAACGCCGCGUGAGUGAAGAAGGGUUUCGGCUCGUAAAACUCUGUUGUUAAAGAAGAACAUAUCUGAGAGUAACUGUUCAGGUAUUGACGGUAUUUAACCAGAAAGCCACGGCUAACUACGUGCCAGCAGCCGCGGUAAUACGUAGGUGGCAAGCGUUGUCCGGAUUUAUUGGGCGUAAAGCGAGCGCAGGCGGUUUUUUAAGUCUGAUGUGAAAGCCUUCGGCUCAACCGAAGAAGUGCAUCGGAAACUGGGAAACUGGAGUGCAGAAGAGGACAGUGGAACUCCAUGUGUAGCGGUGAAAUGCGUAGAUAUAUGGAAGAACACCAGUGGCGAAGGCGGCUGUCUGGUCUGUAACUGACGCUGAGGCUCGAAAGUAUGGGUAGCAAACAGGAUUAGAUACCCUGGUAGUCCAUACCGUAAACGAUGAAUGCUAAGUGUUGGAGGGUUUCCGCCCUUCAGUGCUGCAGCUAACGCAUUAAGCAUUCCGCCUGGGGAGUACGGCCGCAAGGCUGAAACUCAAAGGAAUUGACGGGGGCCCGCACAAGCGGUGGAGCAUGUGGUUUAAUUCGAAGCUACGCGAAGAACCUUACCAGGUCUUGACAUACUAUGCAAAUCUAAGAGAUUAGACGUUCCCUUCGGGGACAUGGAUACAGGUGGUGCAUGGUUGUCGUCAGCUCGUGUCGUGAGAUGUUGGGUUAAGUCCCGCAACGAGCGCAACCCUUUAUUAUCAGUUGCCAGCAUUAAAGUUUGGGCCACUCU